rnacentral:rRNA from 1 species
CAAGAGCGUAUGUAAAAGUUGUUGCAGUUAAAAAGCUCGUAGUUGAACCUUGGGUUUGGUUGGCCGGUCCGCUUUUUUGCGAGUACUGGAUUCAACCGAGCCUUUCCUUCUGGCUAACCAGUCGUUUCGGCGGCUGGCGAACCAGGAUUUUUACUUUGAGAAAAUUAGAGCGUUCAAAGCAGGCAUUAGCUUGAAUAUAUUAGCAUGGAAUAAUAGAAUAGGACGUUAUGGUUCUAUUUUGUUGGUUUCUAGGACCAUCGUAAUGAUUAAUAGGGACGGUCGGGGGCAUCAGUAUUCAGUUGUCAGAGGUGAAAUUCUUGGAUUUACUGAAGACUAACUACUGCGAAAGCAUUUGCCAAGGACGUUUUCAUUAA